GAUGAACGCUGGCGGCGUGCCUAAUACAUGCAAGUCGAGCGAACAGACGAGGAGCUUGCUCCUUCGACGUUAGCGGCGGACGGGUGAGUAACACGUAGGUAACCUACCUAUAAGACUGGGAUAACUUCGGGAAACCGGAGCUAAUACCGGAUAAUAUUUCGAACCGCAUGGUUCGAUAGUGAAAGAUGGCUUUGCUAUCACUUAUAGAUGGACCUGCGCCGUAUUAGCUAGUUGGUAAGGUAACGGCUUACCAAGGCAACGAUACGUAGCCGACCUGAGAGGGUGAUCGGCCACACUGGAACUGAGACACGGUCCAGACUCCUACGGGAGGCAGCAGUAGGGUAUCUUCCGCAAUGGGCGAAAGCCUGACGGAGCAACGCCGCGUGAGUGAUGAAGGUCUUCGGAUCGUAAAACUCUGUUAUUAGGGAAGAACAAACGUGUAAGUAACUGUGCACGUCUUGACGGUACCUAAUCAGAAAGCCACGGCUAACUACGUG
rnacentral:rRNA from 1 species